GAGUUUGAUCCUGGCUCAGGAUGAACGCUGGCGGCGUGCUUAACACAUGCAAGUCGAACGGUGAAGCCAAGCUUGCUUGGUGGAUCAGUGGCGAACGGGUGAGUAACACGUGAGCAACCUGCCCUGGACUCUGGGAUAAGCGCUGGAAACGGUGUCUAAUACUGGAUAUGAGCUCUCAUCGCAUGGUGGGGGUUGGAAAGAUUUUUCGGUCUGGGAUGGGCUCGCGGCCUAUCAGCUUGUUGGUGAGGUAAUGGCUCACCAAGGCGUCGACGGGUAGCCGGCCUGAGAGGGUGACCGGCCACACUGGGACUGAGACACGGCCCAGACUCCUACGGGAGGCAGCAGUGGGGAAUAUUGCACAAUGGGCGGAAGCCUGAUGCAGCAACGCCGCGUGAGGGAUGACGGCCUUCGGGUUGUAAACCUCUUUUAGCAGGGAAGAAGCGAGAGUGACGGUACCUGCAGAAAAAGCGCCGGCUAACUACGUGCCAGCAGCCGCGGUAAUACGUAGGGCGCAAGCGUUAUCCGGAAUUAUUGGGCGUAAAGAGCUCGUAGGCGGUUUGUCGCGUCUGCUGUGAAAUCCCGAGGCUCAACCUCGGGCCUGCAGUGGGUACGGGCAGACUAGAGUGCGGUAGGGGAGAUUGGAAUUCCUGGUGUAGCGGUGGAAUGCGCAGAUAUCAGGAGGAACACCGAUGGCGAAGGCAGAUCUCUGGGCCGUAACUGACGCUGAGGAGCGAAAGGGUGGGGAGCAAACAGGCUUAGAUACCCUGGUAGUCCACCCCGUAAACGUUGGGAACUAGUUGUGGGGACCAUUCCACGGUUUCCGUGACGCAGCUAACGCAUUAAGUUCCCCGCCUGGGGAGUACGGCCGCAAGGCUAAAACUCAAAGGAAUUGACGGGGACCCGCACAAGCGGCGGAGCAUGCGGAUUAAUUCGAUGCAACGCGAAGAACCUUACCAAGGCUUGACAUACACCAGAACACCGUAGAAAUACGGGACUCUUUGGACACUGGUGAACAGGUGGUGCAUGGUUGUCGUCAGCUCGUGUCGUGAGAUGUUGGGUUAAGUCCCGCAACGAGCGCAACCCUCGUUCUAUGUUGCCAGCACGUAAUGGUGGGAACUCAUGGGAUACUGCCGGGGUCAACUCGGAGGAAGGUGGGGAUGACGUCAAAUCAUCAUGCCCCUUAUGUCUUGGGCUUCACGCAUGCUACAAUGGCCGGUACAAAGGGCUGCAAUACCGUGAGGUGGAGCGAAUCCCAAAAAGCCGGUCCCAGUUCGGAUUGAGGUCUGCAACUCGACCUCAUGAAGUCGGAGUCGCUAGUAAUCGCAGAUCAGCAACGCUGCGGUGAAUACGUUCCCGGGUCUUGUACACACCGCCCGUCAAGUCAUGAAAGUCGGUAACACCUGAAGCCGGUGGCCCAACCCUUGUGGAGGGAGCCGUCGAAGGUGGGAUCGGUAAUUAGGACUAAGUCGUAACAAGGUAGCC
rnacentral:rRNA from 1 species